rnacentral:rRNA from 1 species
GAUGAACGCUGGCGGCGUGCUUAACACAUGCAAGUCGAACGGUGAAGGCGGAGCUUGCUCUGCUGGAUCAGUGGCGAACGGGUGAGUAACACGUGAGCAAUCUGCCCCUGACUCUGGGAUAAGCGCUGGAAACGGCGUCUAAUACUGGAUACGAGCUGCGCAGGCAUCUUCAGCAGCUGGAAAGAAUUUCGUUCAGGGAUGGGCUCGCUGCCUAUCAGCUUGUUGGUGAGGUAAUGGCUCACCAAGGCGUCGACGGGUAGCCGGCCUGAGAGGGUGACCGGCCACAAUGGGACUGAGAGACGGCGCAGACUCCAACGGGAGGCAGAAGUGGGGAAUAUUGCACAAUGGGCGAAAGCGUGAUGCAGAAACGCCGCGUGAGGGACGACGGCCUUCGGGUUGUAAACCACUUUGAGAAGGGAAGAAGAGAAAGUGACGGUACCGGCAGAAAAAGCGCCGGCUAACUACGUG